rnacentral:rRNA from 1 species
AUGGUGAGCGCGUCCAGCCUGCUGCUGCCGUCCUCCAUGCGCGACUUCGCCUCCUGCAUCGGCGACGGCGCCGUCCGCGUCGCCUGCGCCAGCCCCUCCUCCACCCUCACCUCCGGCGGCUCCGGCUCCGGCGCCGCCUCCACCCUCGCCGUCACGGCGUCCUACCGCGCCACGCCCCUCAACUCUGGCGCCUCCUCUGCGCCGCUGCUGUUUCGCCUCACCUGGGCCCACUCCCCGGUGGGCCCCACACUGUCGUUUGCUCCAUCCGCCGCUGCGCCUUCCGUUCUCCUUCGCAGGCGCAGGGGCACCCGCUCCUUCACUCUGGCGGACGGCGGCGGCGGCGAUGCGGAUGAUGCGGAGGCCCCCAUGCUCGCCCUCUUCUGGGACCUCACGGCGGCGCGGUACGACCCCGGGGCGUCGCCGGAGCCGCUCUACGGCUACUUCGUCGUCGCCGUGGCCGGCGCAGAGGUCGUGCUCGCGGUGGGCGACCUGGCCGCGGAGUUCGUCAAGACCAAGUUCGAGGGCCAGAUCUCCAAGGCGCGGUGCCUGCCGGUGUCGCGCAGGGAGCGCGUCGUGGUCGCCGACCCGGCGGCAAUGCACACCGCGAGGGUGCGGUUCGCGGAGGGCGGGCCGGAGCACGAGGUGAGCGUCGGGUGCGCCACCAGCUCCGGGGGAGGGGAGGAGCUGUGGGUCAGCGUCGACGGGAAGCGGGCGGUGCAGGCGCAGCGGCUGCGGUGGAACUUCAGGGGCAACCAGACGGUGUUCGUGGACGGCGCGCCGGUGGACGUCAUGUGGGACCUCCACGGGUGGUGGUUCCGGGACCCGCCGGGCUGCGCGGUGGUGAUGCUCCGGGCGAGGAGCGCGCUGGAGAGCCGGCUGUGGCUGGAGGAGGAGGGGGCGGCGCCGGGGUUCUCGCUCGUCGUGCAGGCCUUCAAGGCCCCGCCAUGA